rnacentral:rRNA from 1 species
GACGAACGCUGGCGGCGUGCUUAACACAUGCAAGUCGAACGCUGAAGCUCAGCUUUUGUUGGGUGGAUGAGUGGCGAACGGGUGAGUAACACGUGAGUAACCUGCCCCCUUCUUUGGGAUAACGCCCGGAAACGGGUGCUAAUACUGGAUAUUCACUGGUCUUCGCAUGGGGGUUGGUGGAAAGGGCUUUUCUGGUGGGGGAUGGGCUCGCGGCCUAUCAGCUUGUUGGUGGGGUGAUGGCCUACCAAGGCUUUGACGGGUAGCCGGCCUGAGAGGGUGACCGGUCACAGUGGGACUGAGAUACGGCCCAGACUCCUACGGGAGGCAGCAGUGGGGAAUAAUGCACAAUGGGCGCAAGCCUGAUGCAGCGACGCCGCGUGAGGGAUGGAGGCCUUCGGGUUGUGAACCUCUUUCGCUCAUGGUCAAGCCGCAACAAUGGUUGUGGUGAGGGUAGUGGGUAAAGAAGCGCCGGCUAACUACGUG